UCGGGUGUGGUGCACGGCGCACCGCAGUUUGUUGUGGAAAGAGGAGCAACGAAAUCAAGCUGCAGACCGGGGUUCGACUUCCCGCACCCAAA